AAUUCCAUAAUUGAAAAUUUCAUGCAGCAAAAAGUAAAAAUAAAAAUUCUGUAUUCGGUUUUCAUUUUCCAUUUAUUUAUUAUAUUCAUUUAAAAAUUUGGCUAUGUACAACUUUUGGUUGACUUUAUUCAUACUUUUCCAUGAGGUUUGCUGGAGCAAUACCCUAGAUGACAUGUCGACUCGAAUGGUAAAUGGGACGAAAGUAGCCCUCGGAGUGUUCCCGUUUGUAGUCGUAAUCGAAGACCAAAGUGGAUUUCCCCUUUGCUCAGGGUCUUUGAUUAGCCCUGGGCAUGUUUUGUCGGCUGCACACUGUUUCUUGAGUAAUUUGGCUGGAGUGUUCUAUGUUGUGGCAGGAGAUAUUGUCCCCGCAAGGAAGCCCCAGGAUAAAGCACCUUCAUCGAAGCAGAUACUAAGAGUUGCCAAGGUCCGGGUCCAUAAUAAUGCUAAAGGAAUACACCGCCCUCUCCGAAUGUCGCGUUGAUUACCGUAGCUCAAGCGAGCAUGGGGGUUGGAUCUAGAUGCAUAGGUUUGGGAUUCGGAUACUCUCGGUUUACUGGUGAUGAGCCACCAAUUGAGAGAUUCCUCAGAUCCGCAAGAUUCAUCAUUGAGGCCAAAUGUUGCACUCAAAUUGAAUGCUAUUGCGUUCGACAGCAAAGAGUAUCUGUAUAUAGGGGAGAUUCUGGUGGACCUCUGAUCAAUGCUCUGCCACCAUAUUUCGUCUAUGGCGUCUGUUCGGUGUAUGAUAGUACUGGCAGAGGCAAGUAUGCAAACAUAGUGCGUUUUCGUUCAUGGAUCGCGAAGCAAGUGGACUUGGACGCUUCGCGUUAUAGAGUCGUCAAAUCGGAUAAGACAGAUUCUGUCCGGAAUGGCUCGUUGAAGUUAAAGACGCCGCCCUUUGCAAUAUUAGUCCUUUGCCAAGCUAUUAUCCGAAAUUAUUGCAAAGCAAGUUUUGUGGAAUGCAAGUGAAUUGUUUGUAGCCAUAAAAAUAUUUAUGUCUUUAUUUGUAGUAUUAAGACUAAUAAAUCAAGCCCUUCUUUAA